AUCAUUGCUGCUGAUGUCGCCAUGUUUAAAUGGACUACUGCGGCUGCAGCCCGGGAUGUAUUUGUCGGCGUGACGUGAUUUGUUCAUGGUGUCAAUCCUUGCAGUCGGAAUUCUGGAUAAUGCCAUCCGUGAAUCGAAUAGGCCACUACUGUCACAGUGAACAGAUCAGGCUUGCCAGUGACCAUGUUUCCUGACAAUAGUCACCAAGCAUCACCCUUAGCAUAAUGUGUGCAAAUGUGACCGACUACCGUUUCCAUGCUGGCAUGACGUGAUUUGUUUAUGGUGUGAAUACUCUUGGCUACAAUUCUCAACAAUGGUAUCCGUGAAUCGAAUGGGCCACUCUUGACACAAGAAACGGACCGGCUUGCCAGUGACCAUGAUUCCUUACAGUCACCAUAAAGCAUCCCUACCAACCUCUAGCAUGGUGUGUGGAAGUGUGACCACCCUUUCCAAUCGGGGAUUUGGUGGCAGUUGACCAUGCCGCAAAAUGUGUGGACGCCUGUCGCAUUUUUGCUCCAGCACAUCUACACGAACUAAGCAGUGCCAUGGAAGUCACCACUGAAGAUCCUGUAUCUGCAGAUAGUUGUGGCGGUUCUCAAAGGUACAUCGGGCCCAAUUUAUACGGGCAUAUCGGCGGCUCACUGACGAACAGUGCAUGGAAGUGUUUCCUAGUCAUCGGGAGAGGUGGCGUGUCCAGAAGGUGGUCGGAGCCUUGGAGACAUAUCCAACGCAGACCAUCCGUGGCAUGGCUCAACUCAUUGGCAUGUCUAAGACUCGUGUGUACGAGACACUCAGAGAUGCUUUUUGCAAGCUUGAAGUUUAUGG
rnacentral:lncRNA from 1 species